UACGGAGGGUGCAAGCGUUAUCCGGAUUUACUGGGUUUAAAGGGUGUGUAGGCGGACUUUUAAGUCAGGGGUGAAAUCCCGAGGCUCAACCUCGGAACUGCCUUUGAUACUAUUGGUCUUGAAUGUUGUUGAGGUGAGCGGAAUAUGUCAUGUAGCGGUGAAAUGCUUAGAUAUGACAUAGAACACCAAUUGCGAAGGCAGCUCACUAAGCAAAUAUUGACGCUGAGGCACGAAAGCGUGGGGAUCAAACAGG
rnacentral:rRNA from 1 species